GCCUAAACCAAAACAGCCCAGGUCCCCCAUAGUCCUGCGAGUCGACCCUAAUUAACUCACGAUCGUCUGUUAUUACUCGCAUAGUGAAUGCGAUUUCUCGGGGUUAAGAAGUCAUACAACAAAGGGUUGACGUAACCGAAACACAUCCCCAAUGUUAAGAUAUAUAAUCAACCGACAAUAUGACCCAGUCAACAACAAUCUUUGCUUUCCACUGGCAAAAGGCAGUGAAUGGCUUCUACAGAGGAUGUCACUUAUGCAGAUGAUGGAAGUCCACCGUGGGUGUGUCAACACUGUGGUAUGGGACGCCCCGGGCAACCUCCUCCUCUCAGGCUCGGAUGACCAACAUCUUGUUAUCUGUGAUCCAUGGGAACGCAUGACAAAAGUACGUAUCCACACUGCUCAUCGAGCCAACAUCUUCAGUGCAAAAUUCAUGCCACAUACUGCUAACAGAAAAAUAAUGUCAUGUUCUGGAGAUGGCAUUCUUGUAUAUACAGAUAUAGAAAAGCAAGAGGAAACCCAUGACUGCAAAUUCACUUGCCAUGUGAGCACCUGCUAUGAUAUUGUUACUCUUCCUGAUGAUCCUCACACAUUUCUCACCUGUGGAGAAGAUGGGACUGUGCGGUGGUUUGACUUGCGGGCAAAGGUGCAGUGCACAACGAGAAAUUGUCAGGAGGACAUUCUUCUAAACAUGGGACGUGCAGUAACUGCAGUAGCAGUAAACCCUAUUACACCAUAUCAUUUGGCUGUGGCAACUCAAGAUUCAACCAUCAGAAUUUAUGAUAGACGUGUCUUGGGGACUAGAGCCACAGAUUCCUUUGUGGAGCAGACAGACAGAGCUCUUCUUAUGAGGCUGAAGCCAGACAACAUGGAAGGCAAGAACCAUAGAGUUACAUCUUUACGUUAUAGUCAGGAUGGGAGAGAGGUGCUUGCUAGUUAUUCCUCAGAUUAUUUAUAUCUUUUUGAUACAGAGAACUUUAAAGAGAUUACUCUUGAAGGUGCUAAUGAUGUUGAUAUGGAAGCCAAUUCUGGACCCACAUUGAAACGUCUGCGUCUCAGGGGUGAUUGGUCAGACACUGGUCCCCAGGCAUUACCAGAAUGUGAGAUGCGCAACCAGGCAGGAGAUGUUGGCCAAGCAAGACCAACAUUGCAUGCAACGCUUAUGCAGAGGAUGACAGACGUUUUGUCUAGAAUGCUAAAUGAUCCGGGCACUAGAGCCACAGUUCAAAGAACAACUUCAGAGUCUGAGGUACAGAACCCUUCAGAAUCUCCGUCAGAAAAUGUAAGAGAUGGAGAGGAAGCUGCAGAUGCAGUACAACAUUCAGUAAGUAAUGUGAAUGAGCCAUCACCUUUAGCUUCUUUGGAAGCCCCAAGUUCAAGUAUUCAGCAAACCAUGACACAGUCUCCAGGAACGUCAGAGGAUAAUGCUGCUCCAGAGAGUAUGAAUGAUCAGUGUUGUGAAAAUGAAGAAGCAGGAGAAAGACUAGAACAAAGUGCCACACACAGUUUGCCAGAGACUCAGCAAGACCCUCAAGAAACAGAACAAGCAAUAACUACCCAAGAGACAGAUGAAACACCGCUUGAAGAAGAGGAGGAGGAUGCACACAUGAAAGACUCUCAGAGAGCUACAUUAUCAGGUCUCCGACACAGGCUAUCAUCACUGAGACAAGGGUUUGUAGAAAAACAUCAGGUAGAACCAUCAAUCAGCCUCUCAUAUUCAGGCCAAGGAGUUAGCAGUGGUAUGAUUAGCUUUGGUGUUGGGGAUGAAGUCACACGUAGCAGCACACCCAAUCAGUCAGAACAGGACAUCGGUCCAAGUUUGACAGUUCCAAGUACAAGUGGAACCACUUGCUCAGAGGCUCCAAACUCCGAAGAAACCUCCCAGUCCCAGGAAGCACCAAAACACAAACCUGAAAGAGGUGAACAGCCCUGCUGCUCAUCAACGUCAUCCUCCUUAGCAUCAUCAUCAUCUUCAUUGCAUCAGCCCCAACCAGUAAGAGCUCAUACAUUAACAACUUCGAGUUCUAGUCCUGCCAUCUGUGAUAUGGAAGUAGGAGCAUCAUCUAGUCAAGAAGGGAGAGAUACUUUGGGUCCUGAGGCUGUGACAGCAGGAUCAUCAAACCGUGGGGCAGUUGCCAGUGAGAUAAAUCUGGGACACACUGUAGAUUUUGGAGAAGAUGACAGUGAUGAUGAGUCAGCAACUGCCAGAAGCACGAGUGCACGUAUGGCUAGUGCAAUUGAGCGUGCUGUACAACGUGUGAAAGGAGAGCGUGCUGCAGGUGUUGUAGGGGAUAGAGAAGUCUUGGUUCCUCAGGCAUCUGUCAAGCAGUGUUAUAAAGGCCAUCGUAAUGCAAGAACUAUGAUUAAAGAAGCUUGUUUUUGGGGAGACUCUCACGUCAUGUCUGGAUCUGACUGUGGACGUGUUUUUGUGUGGGAACGAAAGACUGGGAGACUAGUAAUGCUUUGGGAAGCAGACCGACAUGUAGUAAAUUGCCUGCAACCUCAUCCAACUCUACCAGUUCUUGCCACAUCAGGCAUAGAUUAUGAUGUAAAACUCUGGGCUCCAGUGUGUGAAGAAUCUCGCUUUGAUGAAGCAAAGGCUCUAGAGAUAACAAGGCGAAACGAAGCUUUGUUAGAGGAGACAAGAGACACCAUCACUGUACCUGCAACUUUCAUGAUAAGAAUGCUGGCUUCUCUCAACCAAAUUAGACGCGGCACAGGUCACGUGAUCUAUUUAAGCAACUCUGACUAGUGAUACGCAUGACAAGAGAAGAGGGUCCAUGUCUGAUGAUGAGCAAGACAGCAUUGUUGCAGAAAUCUUCCUUCGCUGAACGAUGGAGGAACCGACAUCAGAACCGAAGACAAGAAGAAGAAGAUCAGGGAGGCAGUGCUGAAUAAUGUUUUUUUUUUUUCUCUCUCUCUCCCUUUAUAUUUUCUGCCUUUGUUAUGUGGAUAUGUGAUAUCUUAUGUUUGUCAUCUCAUGACAUCUUUAUUAUAUAUAUUUAAUGAAAGAAGUAAGUGAUAUGAGAAUAGAUAGGGCAGAUGAUAUAGUCAAGUUAGAAGUAAGAAUGGAUACUCAGAGUAUAUUCUAAAUGAAUUCUCAGUAGAUAUACAGACUGCAUAAUAUUUAUUAGUAUAAUUGAUAUAUGAGUGAUAUUCCUGUUUAACUAUAAUUUAAAAUGAAUAUUUGCAAAAUUUAUAAAGGAAAUGCAUUAAAGAAAGAGUACAGGUAAAUGUGUUCAUGUGUUUUUGUGUGUGUCAGUGUAAUUUUGUGUGUGUGUGUGCAUGUGUGGGUGCAAGUGUGUGCAUAUGUGUAUUUGUUUGUUUGUUUUCUUGAUAUUACUUUGUUGAGCUGAGCACAUCUUGUGUAGGGAUAUAAUCUUUUUGAGUGAUCAGAAAUAUCUGAUAAAAUUAAUCUAAUUAAAACAGAAAGAUUGUUUGUUACAGUAUUUUCAGCCUGUACAUUUAGUUAAUAUAUUUUUGAAUAGUGACAUUUGUAGUAAAUCAUGCAAAGAUAUUUCAUCUCAUUUUCUAGUUAUUAUCCUAUGGUUUGGAUGCAGUAUACAGCAUGUACCCUUACAUUUUUUAUAUUGAAAAUAGAGUUGCACUAAUGUGGUGCAUUCAGAAGGCAAUUGAUACAGUAAGGAUUAGGUAUGUAGGUCUGUAUGUUGCUCAUAUUUUAUACUUCUCCAAUCCAUGUCUAGACAAGAUUAUUUUAACAGCAGUGAAAUGUAAUGUAUUGGGAGAAUAUCCCUUCAGUCUGUUAUUCUUUAACUGAGAAAAUGUCUGCAACAUAGCUACUUCUUAAUAUGCAUAGGGUUUUCAUAACCAGUUAUUGAUGUUCUAAUAGUGUUAAUUACAUUUGUACAUGGUUUAGAAUUUUUGAAUGUUUCUAUUAGGUUUCCCAUACUGUAUUUUGCCUAGCUUUUCAUUUAUCAUUCUUGUUGCUCCAUGAUAUAUUGUUUGUUUAUCUUUAAAGGGAUAUGAACAUACUGUGAUGAUUUUUCUAACUGUGGAAGGUUCUUGGUUUUCCUUCAUUCUGUACCCAAAUCUUUUAUUUCCAAUUGGUUAUCAACUGCAAAUGACUUUUUACAGUUCUCAGUUUUUUUGGUGCUUUAUUUAAAAUAGUCCUAAUAUUCCUCUCUCAUUUGUCAUUUCUUUGUUGUGUGAGCAAAUGGAGCCUAAUGAGGAUUGUUGUAUGCAUUUUUAACUUUGUAAUGCAAAUAUUUAAGUGAAUUUUUUUGAACUGUAGAAGAGAAGACAUCAUCUGUCUCUGCCAAUUCAUAUAUUCGUAAGUAUUUACUUAUUGUCUUGGCCCGACUAUCAUUGGUGCCUUUCUUGCAGCAUAUUUCAGUAAAUCAAGGAAUUUUG